UACAGAGGUCUCAAGCGUUGUUCGGAUUCAUUGGGCGUAAAGGGUUCGUAGGCGGCGCGGUAAGUCGGGUGUGAAAUCUUGGAGCUUAACUCCGAAACUGCAUUCGAUACUGCCGUGCUUGAGGACUGGAGAGGAGACUGGAAUUUACGGUGUAGCGGUGAAAUGCGUAGAUAUCGUAAGGAAGACCAGUGGCGAAGGCGGGUCUCUGGACAGUUCCUGACGCUGAGGCACGAAGGCCAGGGGAGCAAACGGG
rnacentral:rRNA from 1 species